rnacentral:tmRNA from 1 species
GGGGCUGAAAUGGAUUUGACAGCGGGUAAAACAGGUAUGUAAGCAUGCCGAGCGUGGGGAACUGGCUCGUUAAUCCCAGGUCUCAAACCAAUAAUUGG